rnacentral:lncRNA from 10 species
AGGACAUCUAGGACAUGCCGGGGGCUGUUUGCUACGGCUUCAUCCCGGAGCUCCUGCUCGGGGUUGCCGGCUGCCUCUGCUGGCGUCCCUCUUCCCUUCCUUUGCGUAAGCGGCAACUCCUCCAGGAAGCCAGGGGAAGGACGGGAUUUCCUCUCCACGUAGGGUAGUAGAUCGCAUAGCCCAGCCGGAUCGCCCAGCAGGAGUGCAGGGCGCGCGUCGGGGUGUCUCCGGCUUGUGGGUGUGCGGUUCGAAACCUUAGCUGGGGUGGGGGAAGGGAUGUCUUUAACCUUCUGUCUACCGUCCCCCUCUUCCCUCUCUCAGCCUAGAGGCAGGGGAUGCUGCGGAAUCAGACUGGGUGCACCAAGGCGGAGGGCCAUGCCGGGCUUCGCCCUUCCUGGGUGUCCCGGAGUCCGUUCCGGAGAAACCCUGGCAUUGCCAGAACUGGGUCCCCGCACUCACUCCUCCAUAAUUCGCGGCGGAUCAGCGGGAGGAGGGCAGAGGGCGGGGGCGAGGCAGCUUCCUGGCGGGUGUGGCGCAAAGUGUGCGGGGUGUGGCGCAAAGUGCGCGGACCCGGGUCCUGGACCGAAGAUUUAGCCCAGGGUUUCGUGUGUGUUGCUCCCUGUUGCUUUCUACGGGGUCUGCGCUGGCCUCCUCCUCGGGCGACUGGGCCCUGAGGCAACAGCGCCUUCUCGAGCCCCGAGGAUUGACCGCCCCGAGCCUGCUUGGAGCAGGGCCUCUCUCCAGCGCGGUGUGAUGAAACACCAGCUGCUGUGAAGAUAUACCCUUAGAAACGAACCGUCUGUUAAUAUGCUUAUGAAAACAGGGGCUCAGAGAGGAUGUACUUUUCUCAAGACCACACAGCUGGCUGGAGUGCAGUGGCGCAACCAUGGCUCACUGUAACUUUGACUUCCUGGGCUCCAGUGAUCCUCCCACCUCAGUCUCCUCAGUAGCUGGGACCACAGGGUCUCGCUCUGCCACUGAGGCUGGAAUGCAGUGUUGUGAUCUCAGCUCCCUGCAACCUCUGCCUCCAGGGCUCAAGCAAUCCUCCCCGCCCAGCUUCCCAAGAUGCUGGGACUACAGGCAUGCGCCAGUAUACCCAGGGAAGUUUUUAAUUUUUUGUAGAGAUGGAGC